GGAUGCUCAUCUUGACGUUUUAUUUAACUCAAAAAUACGAACACCAAAAUAACAAACAACAAACUCACGAUCAACACAACAGUCUUGUAAGGCUUACUCACGCUAAACAAGAAACAGGCAAAACAAGAAACAAUCUCCCACAAAAUACAAACCAAAACACACCCUAAUAUAUAGGACUCUCAAUCAAAGGCAAAGAGACAACACCUGCCUUCAAUUGAGAGUCCCAACCCCAAUUAACUAAACAUAGAAACAGAUUUACUAGACAAAACAUAGAAAUACAUGAAUAUGACACAGUGCCCAAAAAACCACGGAAUACAUAAAUCAAAUGCCCUUCUACAAAAACCACCACCCCGAACCACAUAAAACAAAUACCCUCUGCCACGUCCUGACCAAACUACAAUAACAAUUAACCCUUAUACUGGUCAGGACGUGACACCCCUCACUGUAUUGUAGAUAUGUGGUCUGAGGUAACACACUAAAUGUAUUGUAGAUAUGUGGUAGUAGAGUAGUGGUCUGAGGUAACACACUAAAUGUAUUGUAGAUAUGUGGUAGUAGAGUAGUGGUCUGAGGUAACACACUAAAUGUAUUGUAGAUAUGUGGUAGUAGAGUAGUGGUCUGAGGUAACACACUAAAUGUAUUGUAGAUAUGUGGUAGUAGAGUAGUGGUCUGAGGUAACACACUAAAUGUAUUGUAGAUAUGUGGUAGUAGAGUAGUGGUCUGAGGUAACACACUAAAUGUAUUGUAGAUAUGUGGUAGUAGAGUAGUGGUCUGAGGUAACACACUAAAUGUAUUGUAGAUAUGUGGUAGUAGAGUAGUGGUCUGAGGUAACACACUAAAUGUAUUGUAGAUAUGUGGUAGUAGAGUAGUGGUCUGAGGUAACACACUUAAUGUGCUGUGAAAUCUGUUGUGAAAUGUAUUGUAAUGUUUUAAAAAUGGUAUAACUGCCUUAAUUUUGCUGGAACCAAGGAAGAGUAGCCGCUGCCUUGGCAGGAACUAAUGGGGAUCCAUAAUAAACCCCAGGAAGAGUAGCUGCUGCCUUGACAGGAACUAAUAGGGAUCCAUAAUAAACCCCAGGAAGAGUAGCCGCUGCCUUGGCAGGAACUAAUGGGGAUCCAUAAUAAACCCCAGGAAGAGUAGCUGCUGCCUUGACAGGAACUAAUGGGGAUCCAUAAUAAACCCCAGGAAGAGUAGCUGCUGCCUCGGCAGGAACUAAUGGGGAUCCAUAAUAAACCCCAGGAAGAGUAGCUGCUGCCUUGGCAGGAACUAAUGGGGAUACAUAAUAAACCCCAGGAAGAGUAGCUGCUGCCUCUGCAGGAACUAAUGGGGAUCCAUAAUAAACCCCAGGAAGAGUAGCCGCUGCCUUGGCAGGAACUAAUGGGGAUCCAUAAUAAACCCCAGGAAGAGUAGCCGCUGCCUUGACAGGAACUAAUGGGGAUCCAUAAUAAACCCCAGGAAGAGUAGCUGCUGCCUUGGCAGGAACUAAUGGGGAUACAUAAUAAACCCCAGGAAGAGUAGCCGCUGCCUCGACAGGAACUAAUGGGGAUCCAUAAUAAACCCCAGGAAGAGUAGCUGCUGCCUUGGCAGGAACUAAUGGGGAUCC
rnacentral:lncRNA from 1 species